rnacentral:rRNA from 1 species
UGGGGAAUUUUGGACAAUGGGCGAAAGCCUGAUCCAGCAAUGCCGCGUGUGUGAAGAAGGCCUUCGGGUUGUAAAGCACUUUUGUCCGGAAAGAAAUCCUUGGCUCUAAUACAGUCGGGGGAUGACGGUACCGGAAGAAUAAGCACCGGCUAACUACGUGCCAGCAGCCGCGGUAAUACGUAGGGUGCAAGCGUUAAUCGGAAUUACUGGGCGUAAAGCGUGCGCAGGCGGUUUGCUAAGACCGAUGUGAAAUCCCCGGGCUCAACCUGGGAACUGCAUUGGUGACUGGCAGGCUAGAGUAUGGCAGAGGGGGGUAGAAUUCCACGUGUAGCAGUGAAAUGCGUAGAGAUGUGGAGGAAUACCGAUGGCGAAGGCAGCCCCCUGGGCAAUACUGACGCUCAUGCACGAAAGCGUGGGGAGCAAAACAGGAUUAGAUACCCUGGUAGUCCACGCCCUAAACGAUGUCAACUAGUUGUUGGGGAUUCAUUUCCUUAGUAACGUAGCUAACGCGUGAAGUUGACCGCCUGGGGAGUACGGUCGCAAGAUUAAAACUUAAAGGAAUUGACGGGGUCAUAGCUG